GUUAAGCGACUAAGCGUACACGGUGGAUGCCCUGGCAGUCAGAGGCGAUGAAGGACGUGCUAAUCUGCGAUAAGCGUCGGUAAGGUGAUAUGAACCGUUAUAACCGGCGAUUUCCGAAUGGGGAAACCCAGUGUGUUUCGACACACUAUCAUUAACUGAAUCCAUAGGUUAAUGAGGCGAACCGGGGGAACUGAAACAUCUAAGUACCCCGAGGAAAAGAAAUCAACCGAGAUUCCCCCAGUAGCGGCGAGCGAACGGGGAGCAGCCCAGAGCCUGAAUCAGUGUGUGUGUUAGUGGAAGCGUCUGGAAAGGCGUGCGAUACAGGGUGACAGCCCCGUACACAAAAAUGCACAUAUUGUGAGCUCGAUGAGUAGGGCGGGACACGUGGUAUCCUGUCUGAAUAUGGGGGGACCAUCCUCCAAGGCUAAAUACUCCUGACUGACCGAUAGUGAACCAGUACCGUGAGGGAAAGGCGAAAAGAACCCCGGCGAGGGGAGUGAAAAAGAACCUGAAACCGUGUACGUACAAGCAGUGGGAGCACGCUUAGGCGUGUGACUGCGUACCUUUUGUAUAAUGGGUCAGCGACUUAUAUUCUGUAGCAAGGUUAACCGAAUAGGGGAGCCGAAGGGAAACCGAGUCUUAACUGGGCGUUAAGUUGCAGGGUAUAGACCCGAAACCCGGUGAUCUAGCCAUGGGCAGGUUGAAGGUUGGGUAACACUAACUGGAGGACCGAACCGACUAAUGUUGAAAAAUUAGCGGAUGACUUGUGGCUGGGGGUGAAAGGCCAAUCAAACCGGGAGAUAGCUGGUUCUCCCCGAAAGCUAUUUAGGUAGCGCCUCGUGAAUUCAUCUCCGGGGGUAGAGCACUGUUUCGGCAAGGGGGUCAUCCCGACUUACCAACCCGAUGCAAACUGCGAAUACCGGAGAAUGUUAUCACGGGAGACACACGGCGGGUGCUAACGUCCGUCGUGAAGAGGGAAACAACCCAGACCGCCAGCUAAGGUCCCAAAGUCAUGGUUAAGUGGGAAACGAUGUGGGAAGGCCCAGACAGCCAGGAUGUUGGCUUAGAAGCAGCCAUCAUUUAAAGAAAGCGUAAUAGCUCACUGGUCGAGUCGGCCUGCGCGGAAGAUGUAACGGGGCUAAACCAUG
rnacentral:rRNA from 1 species